GGCACUAGGAGCCGAUGAAGGACGUGAUAAGCUGCGAUAAGCUUCGGGGAGUUGCACGUAAACUUUGAUCCGAAGAUUUCCGAAUGAGGAAACUCACUUAGAGUAAUGUCUAAGUAUCAUUAAGUGAAUACAUAGCUUAAUGAGGGGAACUCAGGGAACUGAAAUAUCUAAGUACCGGAAGGAAGAGAAAGAAAAUCGAAUCCGUACGUAGCGGCGAGCGAAGUGGAAUUAGCACAAACCAAUAACGUUUUAUUUAUUGAGGUUGGGGACAUAUCAUAACGCAGAGGUAUCGUAAUUGAAGAGGUUGGGAAUGACCCACCACAGACUGUAAUAGUCCUGUAUGUUAAACGAGAAGACUUUAGAUAUGAUCCAGCGUACCACGGGACACGUGAAACCCUGUGGGACGCAGGAGGGACCACCCUCCAAGGCUAAAGACUACCUAGUGACCGAUAGCGGAAUGCACC
rnacentral:rRNA from 1 species